AUUGAACGCUGGCGGCAUGCCUAACACAUGCCAGUCGAACGAUAACAGGAGAAGGCUUGCUUCUUUGCUUUCGCGUGGCGCACGUGAGUGUCAUGUCUGGGACACUGCCUGAUGGAUGGGGUUAACUACUGGAAACGGUAGCUAAUCCCGCAUAUCGUUUCAACACCAAAGAUCAGGACCUUCAGGCCUCUUUCCCUUCACUUAUCCCAGGAUCCGCAUUGGAUUAGCUAGUAGGUAAGGUAACGGCUUACCCAGGCCACGAUCCAUAGCCGAUCUGAGAGGAUGACCAGCCACACUGGAACUGAGACACGGUCCAGACUCCUACGGGAGGCAGCAGUGGGGAAUAUUGCACAAUGGGCGCAAGCCUGAUGGAGCCAUGCCGCGUGUAUGAAGAAGGUCUUCGGGUUGUAAAGCACUUUCAGCGGGGAGGAAGAGAGGAAAGUGAAUACCUGCGCUCAUUGACGGUACCUGAAGAAGAAGCAACGGCUAACUACGUG
rnacentral:rRNA from 1 species